GUAUUUAUAGCCUGGAGCGUGAGGGGGCAAGGACACGCGCUUUAUUUCGGAAGUGAUAAUUCCAGCUCCAGGCUGUCUGGCCCAGGCAGCUGCCCGGCACUUCGGAGAAACUGAGGCUCAAACCACUCCAGAGAUGACAAGUCCUGUCACCUUCAGGGAGGCGGAGGCCAAAGACAAAACUUGAAGGUCAGAGUCCAAGGCUGCCAAGCUUCGCCCCUGGGAAAUAAAACUUAUCAAAAAUGCUA
rnacentral:lncRNA from 1 species